AUUGAACGCUGGCGGCAGGCCUAACACAUGCAAGUCGAGCGAGCGGCGGACGGGUGAGUAAUGUAUGGGGACUGCCCGAUAGAGUGGGGUAACUACUGGAAACGGUAGCUAAAAACGCAUACUAUCGGAUAACCCAUAUGGGAUUAGCUAGUGGGUGGGGUAAUGGCUCACCUAGGCGACGAUCCCUAGCUGGUCUGAGAGGAGGAUCAGCCACACUGGGACGGAGACACGGCCCAGACUCCUACGGAGGCAGCAGUGGGGAAUAUUGGACAAUGGGAGCAAGCCUGAUGCAGCCAUGCCGCGUGUAUGAAGAAGGCCUUAGGGUUGUAAAGUACUUUCGGUAGGGAGGCGGUACCGGAAGAAGAAGCACCGGCUAACUACGUGCCAGCAGCCGCGGUAAUUC
rnacentral:rRNA from 1 species